AUGUUUUAAUUAAUCUUUUCUUUUCUUUCUAUCUUAUGCCUCUCGUUUUCUUUUUGUUUUUAAUUAACCCUCUCUCUUUAAUUUCGUUUUUCAUCACCUCAUCUCCUCCCUCUCCUCACAUCAAGCCGACACCCGACACCAAUCAGCCUGCAUCCCCUUCUCCUUCGCUCCGACCGACACUGGCGCCGCCUCAUCUUCCGAAGCCACCCCUUUUUGAAGAAUCCGACUCGAGCGGCCUGUUGUCGCCGCCCUUUCUGAAGAAGCCGACCUGUUGCCACUGCCGAUUGGCUCUCCUUCUCCUUUCUCUGCUGUCGACGCCAACAAAAAGGGGAUUUCGCUGCUGCUACCUCUUCUUCGCCGUCCAACCUCUGCUCCGGCCAAAGGAGGCACCGCCAGCCCACCUCCGGACUUCCGCCGCCACUCUUGGCUUCUCUGCUCCGGCAUAGAAAUCAUCUUUAUGGCACAACUCUCUUCCUUAUCUUCGAAUGUCAUAUCUUAUUUAUCCAUCAAACUUAAUUACAUGCAUUGGAAGAUGCAGUUCCUUUU